CCUACGGGUGACAGCAGUGAGGAAUAUUGGUCAAUGGACGAGAGUCUGAACCAGCCAAGUAGCGUGAAGGAUGACUGCCCUAUGGGUUGUAAACUUCUUUUAUAUGGGAAUAAAAUGUUCCACGUGUGGGAUUUUGUAUGUACCAUAUGAAUAAGGAUCGGCUAACUCCGUGCCAGCAGCCGCGGUAAUACUGAGUAUCCGAGCGUUAUCCGGAUUUAUUGGGUUUAAAGGGAGCGUAGGUGGAUUGUUAAGUCAGUUGUGAAAGUUUGCGGCUCAACCGUAAAAUUGCAGUUGAAACUGGCAGUCUUGAGUACAGUAGAGGUAGGCGGAAUUCGUGGUGUAGCGGUGAAAUGCUUAGAUAUCACGAAGAACUCCGAUUGCGAAGGCAGUUCACUGGACUGCAACUGACACUGAGGCUCGAAAGUGUGGGUAUCAAACAGGAUUAGAUACCCGGGUAGUC
rnacentral:rRNA from 1 species